rnacentral:tRNA from 1 species
CGGGGUGUAGCGCAGUUGGUAGCGCACCUGGUUUGGGACCAGGUGGUCGCCCGUUCGAGUCGGGUCACCCCGACCA